AUGCUGCAUGUUAGUGACUAAUGGUAAUGGUGUGGCAAAAAAUAAGACAAGUAGAUCAAUGAGACUUGUAGUAUAUUCUUUGUUCCCAGAAUGUUAUCCUGGGAGAGCUAAGUUUACAUUAGUUGAAUACAUAAUUUCACUUUCUUUCAGUUCAAAAUUGCAAUCGUGAUUUUUGCACCAAUUAAUGUUGUUGAAGAUGCAUACAAUAUUGUCAUAUGUCUGCUUCAUAAAUUGUGUAUCUUUCAGUUCAGCUCCACUGCAGCUUCAAACUCACAGAAGAUUCCCAUCAGCAGAAGCAGUGAGUCAAUUCAGUUGAUGACAUGCCUCUUCUUCAUCUUGACUCAACGGCUUUUUGAAUAUGAAGUUGGAUCCCAUUUUGAUUUCAUCAUUCAGUCACUCACUUAAACUGGAAGUGAGAUCAAGGAAGGUGUCUUCACUGCAAGGGAUUGUGAUACUGCCCAUGGGAUGAUCGUAUCCAAAUUCUUCUACAGCUUGACUCAGCAAAUCCAUAAAUGAAGGUUGGUUCAAGUAUGAUAUUGGAAUCACAAAUCGCUUCUUCUGGCUCUCUCCGACAUAGACUGCAAAAUAGCCUUUUGGGAUAUCCAAGGUCUUUGAAGCUGUCUUGUUUGCAUUAGAUGAAGAUCGAGUCAGACUUCUCUUGGGGCUAACAAUUCCAGGCAGCCGGAAACCCAUGGCUUCCAUAUUCCCAAGUGGAUAAAUAAUAAAAAGACUUGAAAGGAUCUGGGAAAUAGAGAAAGCUUUGAUGUUUGAUAAAUGAGAGGAGUUGAGUUCCUGAUGAUUGAUUUGUGUAUGUAUAUAUAGAUGAUGAAAGGGUGUGUGGAAGAUCAUCUACUACAUGAAAUGAGUGGUUAACAUUGGCACCAAUGAGGGAGGCGAGCUUGUUUCAAAUCAAGAAAUCACAUGGGUUUGUCUUCCCAUUCACUUAAUUCAGCCACCAGCAGAUGCAUAUGCUGCUGCCCUUUUUUUCAAACAUCCUUCCCUACAUCCUUGAGAUGACGGACAAUACAGGGUCACAGGGACCAGAAGUGAGACAAGAAUUGGUGGAUCGCCAAGCCAGCCUACCAUGUGGUCUUGCUGCUUCAUGUAUGAUAUCCAUGAUCUCCAAUGCCAACAAACUUUGCAAGUAUUUCAUUUGUCUAGUCAAUUGAUGAUCAAGCAUGACAAGCUAACAACACAGCUAUUGAUUUGAUAUUCAAAUAUAUAUUCCAGCUAUUUGUUGAAAUCCCAGUGAUAAGAAAUCAAUGUACUCAUGAUUAGGUUGAGCCAGUUUGAAACUUGCACAAAGCUUUGAAGUUAAUAAUUUAAACUUAACCUACUUGUUCCAACCACUUAAGAAGAUUGCAAACUCUAAUACAUGGUUGACAGUUUUGAAGAGAAGUAGCAGUCUGAUCAAAUGCUAACUAGUACAGGGUAUCAUUAACUUUCACAGAUAUUGAGAAUCUUUACUGAAAUGAAGAAAAGCUUGCAUGCCUCCCAGGAUUUCUGAGCAGUGUAUUCAAUUCUAAAACUCCAAAGUCGACUUCCGAUGUUUAUUAGAGCUUGCAGUUGAUCCUGGAUAAUUUGUGGUACCAUUUCCCUGCUAGAACUUAAUUCUCAGGGAAAGAUAAUAACUCUUUUCAUGCACUCCAGUAUUCGAUUUUCUAUCAUUUUUUACUGCAAGAAAUUUUCUACUGCAUUUCUAUACUGUUGAUCCUGGAAUUCGUGGACCAUUUCCCUGCUAGAACUUAAUUCUCAGGGAAAGAUAAUAAUUCUUUUCAUGCACUCCAGUUUUCGAUUUUCUAUCCUUUUUUACUGCAAGAAAUUUUCUACUGCAUCUCUACACUGUUUGUUAACUUCCUUUUCCCCUCUGCGUAUUUGAGGUAAUUGUUUACAGUUUAAGUUGACCUGCCAUUGUUUACACAUGGGAAACAACAUGCCCUUAUCUAUGUUAGUAUUCUCUUGCUCUUUUAUCCCUAAAAGAGGCAUUGAGUAUUUUCUGAGUUUUUUUUUUUAUAUGUUAUGCUGUUAUUUAAAAUGGUUUUUGAAACCUUUUUACUCACACAAGCGAGAAAUAUAUGCAACAGUUUUGGCUCUGUCUUAUUGUGUUAAGGUUGAGUCCAAAGAUCACCAUUUAGUCCUUUACUUUUUUUUUUUUUUGUGAUGUUGCUGUUCUUUAAUGCCUUAUUCACUGCCUCUAGCUUUCAUGUUGCCGAUUGAUCAUGAUUAUAAAUGGGAUGUUCCUUUGAAAAUAGAAUUACUUAAGUGAUGAUUGUACUUGGUUUUGCAUAUUCUUUGCAAACUAUGAUUCUAAGGAAAUCUGCACCUCCAAUUUGGUACUUUUGAAAAUUUACAUACUUAUUGUUGUUAUUCUUGUGUCUCUCCUUAGCAUGAAAUAAUUUUAAAGAAAGUUCUCUUUACUUGGA